AGCAGCGGCGAAAAUCGAGAGACUGCUCCAAGAAGCAGCGCCCAAAAGGCUGCCACCCAAAUCAAAGCAGCUCUGUGGCAGGAAGAAGUGGCUUGGAUUACCAGAGAUUUUUGGCUGCUGACUCCG